AGUGAACGCUGGCGGUAGGCCUAACACAUGCAAGUCGAACGGCAGCACAGUAAGAGCUUGCUCUUACGGGUGGCGAGUGGCGGACGGGUGAGGAAUACAUCGGAAUCUACUUUUUCGUGGGGGAUAACGUAGAGAAACUUACGCUAAUACCGCAUACGACCUACGGGUGAAAGCAGGGGAUCUUCGGACCUUGCGCGAUUGAAUGAGCCGAUGUCGGAUUAGCUAGUUGGCGGGGUAAAGGCCCACCAAGGCGACGAUCCGUAGCUGGUCUGAGAGGAUGAUCAGCCACACUGGAACUGAGACACGGUCCAGACUCCUACGGGAGGGAGCAGUGGGGAAUAUUGGACAAAGGGCGCAAGCCUGAUCCAGCCAUACCGCGUGGGUGAAGAAGGCCUUCGGGUUGUAAAGCCCUUUUGUUGGGAAAGAAAAGCAGCAGGUUAAUACCCCGCUGUUCUGACGGUACCCAAAGAAUAAGCACCGGCUAACUUCGUG
rnacentral:rRNA from 1 species